rnacentral:rRNA from 1 species
UACGUAGGGUGCAAGCGUUGUCCGGAAUUAUUGGGCGUAAAGAGCUCGUAGGCGGUUUGUUGCGUCGGCUGUGAAAUCCCGAGGCUCAACCUCGGGUCUGCAGUCGAUACGAGCAAACUAGAGUGUUGCAGGGGAGACUGGAAUUCCUGGUGUAGCGGUGAAAUGCGCAGAUAUCAGGAGGAACACUAGUGGCGAAGGCGGCCGCCUGGACCUGACCUGACGCUGAGGCGCGAAGGCGUGGGGAGCGAACGGG